rnacentral:rRNA from 1 species
UGCCAGCAGCCGCGGUAAUACGGAGGAUCCAAGCGUUAUCCGGAAUCAUUGGGUUUAAAGGGUCCGUAGGCGGUCUAAUAAGUCAGAGGUGAAAUCCUACCGCUCAACUGUCGCAUUGCCUUUCAUACUGUUAGACUUGAGUUAUGGGGAAGUAGUUAGAAUGUGUAGUGUAGCGGUGAAAUGCAUAGAUAUUACACAGAAUACCGAUUGCGAAGGCAGAUUACUAACAAUAUACUGACGCUGAGGGACGAAAGCAUGGGUAGCGAACAGGAUUCGAUA